rnacentral:lncRNA from 1 species
AGCAGAAACAGGCAAACACGUAUACACUGUGCUGCUGGAGGAUGCGAUGCAUAAACAGAGCAGAAUGCACAAUGGACAGAUUCAGAGAACAAUCUGCAGCAGUGUGAGAAGAAGCUCUGCUAAAGGAACACAUUAGCUGCUGCUGUCUGUUGGUGUGGCCCAGCUUUUCUCUGUUUACACAUAAUGGUUGGGCUCCAUUAUAACCUGUAGAGAAAAUAACACAAAUAAGACAUGGAAAUACUUCAAGAACAGAUUCUGCAUUUAUUCCAAAACAAAACCAGCAUGAGAGCGAGACUAACUCACUGAUUCAUCUCUCUCUCCAUCUUUAGACUUUAAAUAUUUACAUGCCAUGUCUGGUUGAUAAGACAAAUGAGAACCAGCACUGACUAACAUUUGACUUCAUGGUUGCCCCAUGCAGAAGCCUUGGACGCAGAGUUUCAAGCUCAAAUACUAAAGAUAUUUAUCAGAUUUCUUUAUAAGCUUGAAUGAAAACAAUAAAACAGAUAUAAGUCUGAUAAUUGGUGCA